rnacentral:rRNA from 1 species
CAUUCGAGUGGCGGACGGGUGAGUAACGCGUGGGUAACCUGCCUUACACAGGGGGAUAACACCUGGAAACAGGUGCUAAUACCGCAUAAGCGCACAGGGCCGCAUGGCCCGGUGUGAAAAACUCCGGUGGUACAGGAUGGACCCGCGUCUGAUUAGGUAGUUGGCGGGGUAACGGCCCACCAAGCCGACGAUCAGUAGCCGACCUGAGAGGGUGACCGGCCACAUUGGGACUGAGACACGGCCCAAACUCCUACGGAAGGCAGCAG